GGUGAAAUGGCUGAAAUUAGGCGGUAGAUUGUAAAUCUACUUAUGGUUGUAAUAACCUUUCAUCA
rnacentral:tRNA from 1 species